CAGAACAGCCUUGGUGAGGUGGACAGGAGGGGACCUCGCGAGCAGACGUGCGUGCCAGCGACAGCAGCCCGCCCCGGCCUCUCGGGAGCCGUGGGGUAGAGGCUGCGGAGCCCCAGGAGGGUGAUUUCUGCCUUUGCAGGCCGGAGCCCUCAUGACUUCAGUGACCUGCUUCUGCCCCUCUAGGUCUAUCAGCCACAGUCUCUGCAAGUUUCUAAGAGCAGCAGAAAAUGAACACAUUGCAGGGGCCAGUGUCAUUCAAAGAUGUGGCUGUGGAUUUCACCCAGGAGGAGUGGCAGCAACUGGACCCUGAUGAGAAGAUAGCAUACGGGGAUGUGAUGUUGGAGAACUACAGCCAUCUAGUUUCCUUGGCUUAUGAGGAGG